CCCCCCUCCACUCCUGAGUCGGACGGCGUGCUGGCCGAUGUCUUCGUUUGGGCACGUCGGGCGAAAAGGAGUGGACCCUCGGUGUAUCAAGUUCCGACCGUACCGUGGGUUGAUAUGAUGUCAGGCGUCUCAUGAAUGCCGGACGAUUUGCUGGCGUCAGAUGUCCAGUCGGCGUCAGACGUCUCGUCGGUGUCAGAUGUCCUGUCCCGUCGGCGUUAGACGUCCUGUCGGUGCUAGGUGUCAUGUCGGUGUCGGACGUCCUGUAGGUGUCAGACGUCUCGUCCCAUCUGGAAGGAAAACCGUCAUUCCCGCCGCCCCUUCGGGGACACGAAAUGUCACGGCCUCUGUGCCACGUGGCAUGUGGCCACUGGGAU
rnacentral:lncRNA from 1 species